rnacentral:rRNA from 1 species
CCUACGGGAGGCUGCAGUGGGGAAUAUUGCACAAUGGGGGAAACCCUGAUGCAGCGACGCCGCGUGAGUGAAGAAGUAUUUCGGUAUGUAAAGCUCUAUCAGCAGGGAAGAAAAUGACGGUACCUGACUAAGAAGCCCCGGCUAACUACGUGGCAGCAGCCGCGGUAAUACGUAGGGGGCAAGCGUUAUCCGGAUUUACUGGGUGUAAAGGGAGCGUAGACGGCAGUGCAAGUCUGAAGUGAAAGCCCGAGGCUCAACCACGGGACUGCUUUGGACACUGUAAAACUAGAGUGCAGGAGAGGUAAGUGGAAUUCCUAGUGUAGCGGUGAAAUGCGUAGAUAUUAGGAGGAACACCAGUGGCGAAGGCGGCUUACUGGACUGUAACUGACGUUGAGGCUCGAAGGCGUGGGGAGCAAACAGGAUUAGAUACCCGGGUAGUC